UAACCUAAUUGCCUGGAUCGAUGCUCAUGAUGUCAAUCACUGGAUUGACUGGUCCAGACCCCCAUGAUACAGCUGGAAUAUUGCUGAGAGUGGCGUUAAUUAACAACAGAACAAAUAUUUCAUUUACGAAGGGGAAUAUUUUGAUUAAUCUGCCACCAAGCGGAGGGAAUUCCCAAAUCAGCUUCAUUCAUUCAUAUUUUCAAGAGAAGCAUUUGUGCUGAUGCUAAAUAGAAGAAUGUUUUUUUAUUAUAUUAGAUAAGUGUGCUCAUGUUGGAUUGGUCAGUGUAAAAGGGAAUAAACGCUUUGCAUGUCCUCAUGUAAUGUGCUGUAAGGCAUCUUAGUCUGACACUAAAUAACACUUACAACACCUGACAAUCUGGGUUAGAAUAGGUCUUCAGCAACCUAUGCUUGCUGUAAGGGGCGACUAACAGGAUCAGGGUCGCUGACUCGGUUGAUGCAUGUCAUCGUAUCCCAAUUGCGUGGAUGGAUGCUCAUCACUGGAUUGUCUGGUCCAGACUCGAUUAUUUACACACCGCCGUCAUAUAGCCGGAAUAUUAAAGUGCAGCGUUAAACAACAAACAAACAAAUAUCACUUACUGUGCAUGCAGCCAUAUUUAAGAGAUCUUUAUAAAGAAUCAUGCAUUAUUGAUGCCAGGAUUAAGCUGUUACCAUGGUUACAGCAAUGCCAUUCUAGUCGUCUUUAUUAUGAAGUAUAAAUACAUGCAUGCAAGAUUCAUUGUUCUUUGAACCAGAGGGCUAACAUCCGGAGCUGACUGACACUAUAUUUGCAUGAGCUCUGAAUAUCACCAAUAAUACCGCCUUAUGAGCAAUAAUAUUUCUAGGCAUUUGUCCACAUAAUACAUCAUGUCUUCAUGUCAGAAUAUUAUAAUACCUUAUUGCCAUAAUGUUUAGGUUAUAGUGGUCUAUAAUCAUUUCAUUCCUGAAAAUCAAAACCCAUUAAAAUUUGAUUGGAGAAUGAUGCCUUUUGCUUUUAAUAGAAUUUUUUUUUACUUUUUACUUUUGAAAUUUCAUGUAAUCCAGUCUGACUUUUGAUUGAUGGUGCUUGUCUUCACUUAUGAAAUAUGGUGUUUGAACGUUAAUGUGAACAUUAUCAUCCAAUGACAUCAAUCUUCCUGACAGUACAUUUAGAUAUAUGAUCACAUUCAUUCAAGACUGUCUGGUAACCAUGGUUAUGUUCUUGUUUCAUUACUGCUUUAGUUUGUAAUCUCAUCCAACAUUGGUGCAUUAAAGUACAGGGUAUUUCAUGUAGUAAUCCUACCUUCGUAGGCCAGACCAGGUGAUAUAGCAAUACUACCUUAGUAGGCCAGACCAGGUGAUAUAGCAAUACUACCUUAGUAGGCCAGACCAGGUGAUAUGUUCUGUUUGCAAAAUCAUAUAAGGAAAUGACGUAUUAUAUCAGCCUUAAAAAUAUAUUGCUUCGUCUUUCUCCAUCCAGGCAUUUCAGAACUGGGCUGGUAGGUAAUUGUCUGUUUCUUAGCAACAAUCUUCAGGUUCAUCAUAGGCAUUGAUCUUAUUCAGGGAAAUAUUAGUGUGGAUCCCCUUGUGACAAUCCUGCCUUCUGAACAAGCCAUUACUCCAUGUACUUACUUGUGUCUCUCUUAUCCCAGCAUGUGUUUAUCAGGAUUAUUUUACUGGAAAUGGUACGACCAGAUUAGCUGGGUUUCACUGUAUAACCAUCCUCAGGUCGUUAUUGAUGUAUUCAUUUCAAGAACACUUCUCAAAGACAAUCAAAGCAAGACAUUGAUGCUGUUUAUUUUUUGUUCCAUUAUUGAAAUGCACGUGUUGCACUUCUACAAUUCUUUUUGUCAGAAACAGGGUCAAGUUAUUAUUUGAAUGAGGCAUUAUUUGCUUGGUUAGUCUUGUAGACAAACAAACCUUUCUUCAUUAUACCUUAGACUAAUGGGCAUUUUUAAAAGGCAUCAUAAACAUAAGAAUAUGCUCAUAAGAAUAACACGGUCUGGCCUUGAUAGAGGAAAUUAGGUGAUUUGAGAUCUUGUGCAGACAACUUGAUCUCCAAGGUGAAGAAACUCGGACUGUUUAUUAGGCACAAGGGCAUCAGGAAAGUCACCCCAUGAAAGCAUGUUGUUUCUGUAAUAUCUGCCUGUUCUCACUUUUCAAACAGCUCUGCCAGCCAGCCAGUUCUCAUGUGUACCAGCCUGAUGCAUGUGUUUACUUUGUUGACCGAGUCCUGCUUUCGGUUAUUUGCAGGUUACAAUUGAUCAUGACAUUGUCCUUUGGUGUAAAUAACCAGAUUCUAUGCAUACGCUUGGUGUAAUCUGAAGUGUGAAGUCGACCUGUCUUCAAAUUAAAAGAAUAUCUCUA